rfam:Gossypium arboreum cultivar AKA8401 contig_96481_1, whole genome shotgun sequence.
ACGAGGAAUUCCUAGUAAGCGCGAGUCAUCAGCUCGCGUUGACUACGUCCCUGCCCUUUGCACACACCGCCCGUCGCUCCUACCGAUUGAAUGGUCCGGUGAAGUGUUCGGAUCGCGGCGACGUGGGCGGUUCGCCGCCCGCGACGUCGCGGGAAGGCCACUUAACCCUAUCAUUUAGCGGAAGGAGUACGAGUGCAAAA